rnacentral:rRNA from 1 species
UGGGGAAUUUUGGACAAUGGGCGAAAGCCUGAUCCAGCAAUGCCGCGUGUGUGAAGAAGGCCUUCGGGUUGUAAAGCACUUUUGUCCGGAAAGAAAUCCUUGGCUCUAAUACAGUCGGGGGAUGACGGUACCGGAAGAAUAAGCACCGGCUAACUACGUGCCAGCAGCCGCGGUAAUACGUAGGGUGCAAGCGUUAAUCGGAAUUACUGGGCGUAAAGCGUGCGCAGGCGGUUUGCUAAGACCGAUGUGAAAUCCCCGGGCUCAACCUGGGAACUGCAUUGGUGACUGGCAGGCUAGAGUAUGGCAGAGGGGGGUAGAAUUCCACGUGUAGCAGUGAAAUGCGUAGAGAUGUGGAGGAAUACCGAUGGCGAAGGCAGCCCCCUGGGCCAAUACUGACGCUCAUGCACGAAAAGCGUGGGGAGCAAAACAGGAUUAGAUACCCUGGUAGUCCACGCCCUAAAACGAUGUCAACUAGUUGUUGGGGAUUCAUUCCUUAGUAACGUAGCUAACGCGUGAAGUUGACCGCCUGGGGAGUACGGUCGCAAGAUUAAAACUCAAAUGGAAUUGACGGGGUCAUAGCUGUUUCCU